rnacentral:tRNA from 1 species
GGUGUUUAGUCCAAAAUAAGACCUUUGAUUUCGGCUCAAAAAAUGGUGGUUAGAGUCCACAAAUACCUU